rnacentral:rRNA from 1 species
UUCGGACCUCCGAUCAAGCAAGAGGACCCG